UACGUAGGGGGCUAGCGUUGUUCGGAGUUACUGGGCGUAAAGCGCACGUAGGCGGCUUGUUAAGUCGGGGGUGAAAUCCUGGAGCUCAACUCCAGAACUGCCUUCGAUACUGGCGAUCUCGAGUUCGGGAGAGGUGAGUGGAACUGCGAGUGUAGAGGUGAAAUUCGUAGAUAUUCGCAAGAACACCAGUGGCGAAGGCGGCUCACUGGCCCGAUACUGACGCUGAGGUGCGAAAGCGUGGGGAGCAAACAGG
rnacentral:rRNA from 1 species